ACCAAAUUUUGGUUGAAAGUCUGGCGGGACUGGGCUUUGGCGAGAGAAUAUGAUGCUGACAUUGAGAAGUACGUAUCCAAUUUUAUCAUGUUAAUAAUAAACAAGUAAUCAUGCGAUGUUGCUCGUACAAUUAGGGAUUAAUGGUACUCGUGAUGUUUGGAAAUUUGCCAAAUUGGACGAGCCGCCAAUUUUGGCAAAAUUUCCAAACAUCACUCGUACUAUUAAUCCCUAAUUGUACUCGCCAUCGCAUGAUUACCUAUACUAAUUUGGUCAUUUCCACAUUUUUUACCAUUAAAAACUCGAAAUUGUAUUCGAAAAACGUAGAACUCACUUACUGUAAUUGUCUUAUAUAUAGUUUUUUGCGAACUUUCUAGUGGUGUAGUUUAUUUUUCGUAUAAGAGAACUGAGAUUUUACAUUUUUUCCGACCAUAGUAAUUUAAUUAAUUGGCUAUAAAGCAAAAAUCAGAAGUGGUAACACAUAUAGUCUUGCGUGCUAUGCUCUUUCUUUCUUUCUUUUUUUUUCUUUCGUGCUAUGCUCUUUCCUUCUUUUUCUCUUUCUUUUUUUUUCUUUUUUUUCCCGCUGUCUAUAUAGUCUUGUUCACCAAGGCUUGAACUAUAAGAAAAUGCCUGUUACCAGCCUCUAACAUAAAGUUGCCAUCCAGUUGUACAAAAUGAUGACUUGGCCAGCCGUCUAUAUUGGUUAUACUGUAGGCAUCGCCUUAGUGUAAAUACAUGAACUUGCGGUUAAAGCUCGAUUGACUCUGUACUGCAGCUCAGGGUUAGAGCGCUGCACUAGAAACGCAGGGCCGCAAGUUCGACUCCUGCCAGAGAGCCUGUAGUUGCAUUUUUCGCAGCUGCCCAUGUUUAGUUCUAAAAAUGUAUAAAAUUUACACUCGAGAUUUCCAUCACCAGAAAACCCUCAACAUUUAGUAUAGGUAAGGGAGCGGUCAUAAAGUAACUGCUAGGGUGGGCUGGAGUGAUUUGGGAUGGGGCAUGGAAAAUCUUUGGGCAGUUUCGAUGGGCCGCAAAUUUUUUUGUAUGCCCACGGUUGGGCCACCAAACAAAAACCCAUGCAUGUCUACUUCAAAAAAUAAUAAAGAUAUUAAUAAUAAAAGUAAACAAAACUAUAUCCAAAUUAUCAAAUGCAAAUUAUGCUAUUGAAGCCAGUACUCUGUUUAUACAACAAGAAGUGG